GCCAAAUAUCUAGCUUUCUUCCAAUCAUACUAAUUUUCUAUACUCAAUAUGCAAUAAAACAUUUUGUUAUUUUAGUAAAGGCGAUUAAAAAAAUUCUUAAAGCUUUAAAUUUAGUACCGUAAGGGAACGAUGAAAUAUUAGUGAAACAACAUAAAGCACAAGAUAGUAGAAGUUAAAACUCGUACCUUUUGCAUCAUGGUCUAGCCAGUCCUAAUCAAGCAAAAAGAGGUUUUAGUUUGAUUCCCCGAAACUAGGUGAGCUACUUCAAAAUCGCCUUUAGGGCUAACCCGUCUCUGUAGCAAAAGAGUGGGAAAAUUUUCAAGUAGAAGUGAUAGACCUAACGAACCUAGAGAUAGCUGGUUAUUCAAGAAAAGAAUUUUAGUUCACCCUUAAGUCUCUUCAUGAUUAUCAACAUCCCCGCAGGCUUAAGAGUUAUUCAAAUAAGGCACAGCUUAUUUGAAACAGGAUACAACCUAGACACUAGGGUAAACCACUAAGAUCUAAUUAAGUUGGCCUAAAAGCAGCCACCUUUAAAAAAGCGUUAAAGCUUUAUUUUUUCUCCUAAAAAUUUAUUUAAUAAUUAUGAACCCAUCAUUACUAUUGAAUAAUUUCAUAAAUUAUGAAAGUUACCAUGCUAGAACUAGUAACAAGAAAAUGCAUUUCUCCAAAUUGUAAGCUUGAACCAAAAUGGACUCUCCACUGGUACUCAACGAUAAUGACCCCAAUAUUUUAACCACUCAAGAAAACUGAAUAACUUAUAUCGUCAACCUUACACUAGAACACUUCUGGAAAGAUUAAAAGGAAGAGAAGGAACUCGGCAAUAUUUAGUCCCGCCUGUUUACCAAAAACAUCGCCUCUUGCACACUAUAAGAGGUCCCGCCUGCCCAGUGAUUAAUUUAACGGCCGCGUGAUUUUAAGCGCGCAAAGGUAGCAAAAUCAUUUGUUCUUUAAAUGAGGACCAGUAUCAAUGGCACCACGAGGACUUCACUGUCUCCUUUUCCCAAUCAGUGAAACUAAUCUCCCUGUGAAAAAGCAGGGAUAAAGCUAUAAGACGAGAAGACCCCAUGGAGCUUUAAACUUUUUCAGCAACUUCCAGUAAAUUUUUACCUAUUAAUACUUAAGUUGUGCUUAAUAGUUUUAGGUUGGGGCGACCGCGGAGUAAAAUUUAACCUCCACGACAAAAGGAGAUUUCCUAAUCUAAGAAAGACAUUUCUAAGAAUCACUAACCUGAUGUUUCAUGACCCGACUAUCGAUCAACGAACCAAGUUACCCUGGGGAUAACAGCGCAAUCCAUUUAGAAAGCUCCUAUCGACAAAUGGGUUUACGACCUCGA
rnacentral:rRNA from 1 species